AAACCUUGAGAGUGUCCUUGUAUCUUUGCUUCUGACAGUACAUGUAAAUUGAAAGAAAAAAUAUAAAUUUUCUAAUGACCACAACUAUGUACUAAUAGGGUAGGUGUACCUUUUGAACACUGUACAAUUUCUCAAAUCUUGGAAUCAGAUUGGAUACUGUAGUAAGGGAUUUUAGCAGGAGCCACAACACAGCAAGAGAUCCUGUAACCAACAUUCCACACAGAACUCUCAGAAGCUGGGGGACUGAAAGUCUGAGGCAGUUGCUCCACAGAGUUGCCCUGAGCACUCCACAGUGCCUUGCUGCAUCGCCCUCUCAGCCGUUGAACCUUCUUGUUGGUUUCUUCCCUCUGUUCAACAGAAGCAGUCUUCACAUGCUGGGAAGACUGAGGUCAUUAAAGAAAUUAUGCAUCAAUCCAGUUCUUGUUCUUGUUCAACAGUGGCCCCAACUCACUAUCCAUUUGAAUUGUCUGAUGGAAUACUGAUAGACAAGCUCUUUAGGUUAUCAGUCCAAGAGCAUAUUAGAAUCUGAGCAACAGACAUUCUUCAAACAUUUUGUCUUUCCUGUUCGGGUGAGAUGUGGAUGAACUAUGCCUCUUAUUCCCUUGAAGAUUCUUAAAGCAAACAUAAAAACAAACCACGUUGUCUCUUGGUGGAUGAGAUCUAAGGAAACCCAUCAUGAUCAAAGAAAAACUAUUUUCUUCAAAUCACGUCACUAAUUUUCAUAAUUUGUAAUGGUAGUUUGCACAGAAACAACACUGAAAAGAAAUGAUGCAUCAUAAAAAUAUAUUAUCCAGAUGGUUUUGAUUUAAUAACAUAGCAACAAACUCAAACAGGCAUUUUGCCUUAUCCCAAAUAGAAAGCACAAGACAUUAAAAUGUCAUCAUAGAUGUUAGAGACAGAAAAACAGUAUGAAGAAUAAAAAAUGGAGACUGUGUGCAACAUUAAUUUCACUUUAUGCAACGUUUAGAAACAGUAUAAAGUAUCAAUAAUUUAUGAAGGAAAUGUGCAAGGCUUAAAUUUGAAAAAAAUCCUGAUUUUUAUUAUUGGGUUGUAAUAAUAAUGACUGCCCUUCAGGUCCUUUUACUAGGAUUUUGUCAGAAAUCUAUUUUUAAAGAACCCCUAGAUCCAUCAAAUCGAAUAUAUUGUUUUAUAAACAGUAAAUGUCAUGGAACUGGCUGAGAAAUUACUUAUUAGAUUGAAGUUGAUACUUAUUCAGAAACAUUUUUCAUCUUUCCUUAGGAUCCUUGGGUAAAUAUUUAGGGAAAAGGCAUGAUUUCUUAAAACACUAUAUUAAUGACUGACCUUAGAAUCUAUAAGUUGACUUCUCAUGGUCUUCUAUGUCAAGAAUAAACUUCUUAUUUCCCA